UUGAUCCUGGCUCAGAAUCAACGCUGGCGGCGUGCCUAACACAUGCAAGUCGAACGCGAAAGCCCCGCAAGGGGUAAGUAGAGUGGCAAACGGGUGAGUUACACGUGGGUGACCUGCCUUCGAGUGGGGGAUAACGUCCCGAAAGGGACUCUAAUACCGCAUAAUAUCCUGCCUUUUAAGAGGUGGACAUCAAAGCUGGUGACCGCAAGGCCUGGCGCUUGAAGAGGGGCCCGCGCCUGAUUAGCUAGUUGGUGGGGUAAUGGCUCACCAAGGCUUCGAUCAAUAUCCGGCCUGAGAGGUCGGACGGACACACUGGGACUGAGACACGGCCCAGACUCCUACGGGAGGCUGCAGUGGGGAAUUGUUCGCAAUGGGCGCAAGCCUGACGACGCAACGCCGUGUGGAGGAUGAAGACCUUCGGGUCGUAUACUCCUUUCGAUCGAGACGAAUGAUCUCCGGGUGAACAGCCUGGGGAAGUGACGGUACCGAGAGAAGAAGCUCCGGCUAACUCCGUGCCAGCAGCCGCGGUAAUAAGGU
rnacentral:rRNA from 1 species